rnacentral:rRNA from 1 species
UACGAAGGGGGCUAGCGUUGUUCGGAAUUACUGGGCGUAAAGGGCGCGGCCAGGCGGUCCUUCAAGUCAGGCGUGAAAGCCCCGGGCUCAACCUGGGAAUAGCGCUUGAGACUGAAGGACUUGAGUUCGGGAGAGGAGAGCGGAAUUCCCAGUGUAGAGGUGAAAUUCGUAGAUAUUGGGAAGGAACACCGGUGGCGAAGGCGGCUCUCUGGACCGACACUGA